GAUGAACGCUGGCGGCGUGCCUAAUACAUGCAAGUCGAGCGAACGGACGAGAAGCUUGUUUCUCUGAUGUUAGCGGCGGACGGGUGAGUAACACGUGGAUAACCUACCUAUUAGACUGGGAUAACUUCGGGAAACCGUAGCUAAUACCGGAUAAUAUUUUGAACCGCAUGGUUCAAAAGUGAAAGACGGUCUUGCUGUCACUUAUAGAUGGAUCCGCGCUGCAUUAGCUAGUUGGUAAGGUAACGGCUUACCAAGGCAACGAUGCAUAGCCGACCUGAGAGGGUGAUCGGCCACACUGGAACUGAGACACGGUCCAGACGCCUACGGGAGGCAGCAGUAGGGGAUCUGCCGCAAUGGGCGAAAGCCUGACGGAGCAACGCCGCGUGAGUGAUGAAGGUCUUCGGAUCGUAGAACUCUGUUAUUAGGGAAGAACAUAUGUGUAAGUAACUGUGCACAUCUUGACGGUACCUAAUCAGAAAGCCACGGCUAACUACGUG
rnacentral:rRNA from 1 species